rnacentral:rRNA from 1 species
UACGAAGGGUGCAAACGUUGCUCGGAAUUACUGGGCGUAAAGCGCACGUAGGCGGAUUGUUAAGUCGGGGGUGAAAUCCUGGAGCUCAACUCCAGAACUGCCUUCGAUACUGGCGAUCUCGAAGUUCGGGAGAGGUGAGUGGAACUGCGAGUGUAGAGGUGAAAUUCGUAGAUAUUCGCAAGAACACCAGUGGCGAAGGCGGACU